GACGCUUUGGCCAAGCGGUACGGCGUUGCUUUCCGAUGGCAAAGAUCCUGGGUUCGAUCCCCAGAAGCGUCU